rnacentral:antisense_RNA from 1 species
AUUCCCAGUCACCCACUCACUCAGAAAGCCGGGAGUCAUCGGACACCUUGCUGCAGGCAGAGCUCAGAGGAUCUUGGCAUCACCCACCAAAGUUAGCUGAAAGCAGGGCACUCCUGGAUAAAGCAGCUUCACUCAACUCUGGGGAAUGCUACCAUUUUUUUUCCAAAGUAGAAAGGAAGCACUUCUGAGCCAGUGACCACUGAAAGAAACCAGCCUUUUCAGCAUCUCACCCAUUAGCAGCCCCAUCACCCAGUGAUCAGUCGCCUCAGUAAAGCAGAUCUGUGGAUGGGGAGCCUACGGGUGAUGAACACUCUUCCUGAUCCUCUCCUCUAGAAUUCAUCUCCUCCUGCUAGCAGCCGCGUCCUGGAGGAGCAGCGGAUGGGGAAUCCAUUCUGUUUCUUCCUGGUGUUUAGGAAGUUGCCCCACACACAGAUUGCCCCGAUGUCCAACCAGAAGAAGUGAAACUGCUGCUGGGUCUGGAGAGGUGAAGACCCGUGGCCAGCUUCUGUUGUUGCCAUCGGCCAUUGCUUUUUGUUCGCUUGCUUUUGGUUUUGCAAGAAGAGCGGCCUCUGUCUCUGAUCUGCUUCAAAUCAUCAUUCCAUCAGUGACAGAAGUGGCUGUUCCAUCAGUGGUCGCAGCCAGUUCAGCUCCUGCAUCCAUCCCCAAGUGUUCUGAGUGGAAUUUGAGGCCUCCCCAACCACCUACCAAAAAAGGAGGGUGAAAUGAAAGGAAGAAGAAAAACUCAGCAUUCUUUCCUCUGACAAAGAGUAAAACGACAAGGAAUAUCGGCCUGAAUUCUCUUCCCAAGAAGAAAGAAAGCACACCAACGCAGGCAUUUGUCUUCUGUCCAUGGUGCUGAAGUUUAUUCACUUUCAAACCACUUUCAGUAACAGGUCUGCGUUGGACACGGCAUUGUACAUGGGAUUAGCUCUGG